CUAUACUAGCCCAAUGGAAGAGCAAGAAGCUUUUAACUUCUAGGUUGGAGGGUUCGAAUCCCCCCGUGUAGA
rnacentral:tRNA from 1 species